AAUUAUUGUAACCGACCGAAUUUCACAAGCAGUCCAGAUAAUCUUCUUCAUUUGAGAUGAAUCCGUUGUUUUUGAUAUCCUCUUCUCCUUGUUCCUAUAUUGGUUCAAAACUGCUUCUUUAGUUUUAAGAAAUUUUGGUCCUAUAAGAUACAAAUUGCCUAUACAUUCAAAGUGAUGCAUUCGUUCGGCUUUUAAACCAAUAUGUAGGUUAGGCUCAUCGAAUAUUUUUAACACAUCUCUCAAAAGCGUUUUUCUCUGGUUUGAAGCUGGAAUCUUCAUCUGGAUACAAUUUUUGGACACAUAAGAUCGCAUACUCCAUUGUUCAUUGAUAUGGCUUCGACCAUGUAAUGUCCAAUCCAGUAAUGCAAGAGAAGAAGUUUCGUCUUCUAAUACAAAGUUUUGAGUCUGAAUGUAAUUACUAUCUCCAAAAGGUUGCACUGGAUCUUGUAAUAACAAGCACAAUGCAUUCGUUCCAACUUCUACAUCCAACUUUUGCUGUGUUGCAGGCUUUCCUGGUAUUUGUUUAUAUAAUUUUGUAUUUCCUUGACUCUGUAUGCACAAUGUAGCAUUUUUUCCAACUAUAAUAUCCAGCGCUACACGAUCCCCUGAUACCAGGCCACCUCCAUAGCUCAUGAUGUACAGAAUAGAAAAAUCAAGUUUUGUUUUAGGAGCGAUAAGUUUUAAUGGAUAUUUACAAAACAUAUCUGUUACAUAAUGUACAUUUUCAAUGCAUUCCACUCGAAAUCGUCCUUCUUUAUCUUCCAUAUUAAAAGCAGGUAGUAUCUGGAUAAUACAGUGGAAUAUGUGAAACCAUAAUUACCGUUGUUUCGGAAUUUUGGUUAAGUUAAAAAGUAUGAAAAGAUAUAAUAUUUGGUUUUUGUAGUUUAUGAGCUCAUAAUGCAUUUGGCAAUGCAUGUUCAAUUACAGUGUUUUCAUAUUCGAACAUUGAUAUUUUGUAGUGUGCUUUACAGUUCAAUUCAAAUGUUGGAAUACCCUAUGAAUAAAUAGCUUCAUCAUUCAUUAAAUCAAUAUCACUGAGGAACAUUUAUACUUCGGAGUUGAGUUUAAUCAUGGUUCCACACGUAGUCGGCACCUACUUUCUUACGCGCUUGGUGGUCCUUGAUGACUAGUGAAAAGUAGUUAUAAAGGGUAAAUAAAAAUAUGCUUUGGAUAGUUUCAUUGCACGAUUCAACACAAAACAACUGAAUUUAAUGACAGUUUUUUAAAUCUAUCAAUGUACUACUCUGAAUUUUGUAAUGCACAUAGAAGACUGGA